GACGAACGCUGGCGGCGUGCUUAACACAUGCAAGUCGAACGGAAAGGCCCUGCUUUUGUGGGGUGCUCGAGUGGCGAACGGGUGAGUAACACGUGAGUAACCUGCCCUUGACUUUGGGAUAACUUCAGGAAACUGGGGCUAAUACCGGAUAGGAGCUCCUGCUGCAUGGUGGGGGUUGGAAAGUUUCGGCGGUUGGGGAUGGACUCGCGGCUUAUCAGCUUGUUGGUGGGGUAGUGGCUUACCAAGGCUUUGACGGGUAGCCGGCCUGAGAGGGUGACCGGCCACAUUGGGACUGAGAUACGGCCCAGACGCCUACGGGAGGCAGCAGUGGGGAAUAUUGCACAAUGGGCGGAAGCCUGAUGCAGCAACGCCGCGUGCGGGAUGACGGCCUUCGGGUUGUAAACCGCUUUCGCCUGUGACGAAGCGUGAGAGACGGUAAUGAGUAAAGAAGCACCGGCUAACUACGUG
rnacentral:rRNA from 1 species